GCCGGUAUGACCUAAACACAGAGACGCGUACGGUACUCGCUGGCGAACAGGCAAGACUAGAUGUUACGUUCCAGCAGAAGUAGCGGGUCACAAGUCGACAACCUGUCGAGCUAUUUGCAGGUAAUGCAGGGAUCAUCUGGGUAAAAUGAUGGUGUCUACUUCUGCGGACUCAACAGAAACUGCCUUAUCUUCGCCAACAGUUGUUGUUGAACCCGUGUCCGUACAUAAAAGACAGGAAACGUUUUCAUUGGAAGCCGAGGCAAAUAGUACAGAAUAUAUGCGUGAGAAUGUAAAACACUUUUCCAUUGACGACAGCUAAAUUUUUGUGUUAUCCGAAAACACAAGCACAACUAGCUCCGGUGAAGUGGUUCUUCGUGCCAACAAACCUUUAUAGCGGAUAGAGCAAAACGAAGGUACAUACAACACACUAGAGAUAUCCUUGUCGCAGCGUUCGAUCGGCACUCCAAGUUUCAAGGGCCGUCAAUGAUGAGCUUGGUGCAGAGGGUAUAAUGCUCCCAUUCCAACGUCUUUACCUUGAGGCCAUAGCACAAACGUACAAAAAUGCCGGCAGCUGGGACACGCGGAGACAAAUCCUCUCAAUUAUGGCUGCCACUGCGAGUUUUUCUACCAAACGAGAAUUUAUUCCCGGUCUGUCCCAGUAUAGAUACACUGUGGCGAACUUACAUCGCCUUCAACAUGGAGUAGCGACGCCCGUUCCUGUACAGCCUUCAGCGAGGAUACGGAUAGACAAGGCCCAACUUGACCAUUUUUUGCAGUUCAUAACAAGCCCACAUAUUUUUCAAGAUAUGCCUUUUGGUCUAAAAAAUUUACGCCUGUCCAAAUGUAACGGUAACGUAUUGGAAGUACCAAUGUGAUUCAGUGUCUAAUACCAGAGCGAAUUGCUGUUCAAUAUGAGCAGUAUUGCGAAGAAGUCGAGUUUACCCCUUUCAGUAAAAGAACACCACUGCGUGUUUUAGCUGCUUGUGGCACGACGGUUAGAAAGAGCUUCCAGGGACUGGACUAUUUUGCAGCCGAUGGAGCCUCUGCAUUUGACAAGAUGAUUUCACUCCUAAAUCAACCAAAAAGGCCUGGUUGAAGAUACCACGGUAGGAAGAUGGCAGGAAAUGCUCAAGAACUCAAAACUUUACCUAAAGGCGGACUUCAAGAUAAGAUAUUACCCAAAGAAAUAAUAGUCCAGUUUCGGGUUUGCUAUGACCGCUGAAUGAAAGAAGUGAAGAAGCAUUUUUUACAGGCUUAGCCUCCAUCCGAAAUUCCCAACGAGAAGAAGACCUGUUUGUUACUCUAUCUAUUGUGUAUUUUUAAAUUUAAAACACUUACUUGCCGGAAUCUGUAAAUAUUCACUUUAUGUCGAGGCUAACUUUUUAUGAAUGCGUCGGUAAUGUCUGUAUUGAGCGGUAACUUUAAAUUCUAAAAUGGAAUAUCGACAGGGUCUUUUGAAGUUCAUUAACUCGUUCUCCCUUUUAUUGAUUUCAGGGUGGGCUUUAACAUCGCCUGCAUUUGUGAUUUUCUCUACCCCAGCCCUA